GCUACCGGUCUAAAGUGGCCCCGCCCCCACCCCGGCUCGCGCCCCGCCGGCGAAUCGGGGCGCGGGCCAGCCCCGCGACGAGCCUCAACGGCGCGCGUGCGCGCUCCGCUCGCCUGAGAGGUGCCGCAGCCUCCAGCGCGCGUGCGCGCGCAGCAAGUCCCGCAUUCUCUUUCCGCCUCCGCGCGGCCGCUCGCCCAGGUGGUGUUGGCGAGAGCGUGGUGGCGGGUUAGGGGUGCGUCUCGUGCGGGGUCACUCGCACCGCCGCCUCACGGCAGCGGGCGGGAACCUCCGGGCGAGGCGUGAGGGGACUGAGGGGUGAAGGGUGAGGACUGAGGGUUGAGGGCGCUGAGGGCGGAAGGCUGAGUCCCUCCGCCUCUGAGGGCGCCGCGUUAGACCCGCGGGGUGAGUCGGGGGAGGCGCCAGCCCCCGCCGGCACCGGGGAAAGAAAGGGUUAAAGGCCGGCAGUGUUUCGCCACCGCGGUACAGCCACGUCGUAUAGCGCCCGCAGGGCAGCUGCUGAGUGAGCGACACGUCUACGCAGGGCUCUGAGACCGCGGCGCUGCCCACUCGGGUGGCACGGGGCUGGUCUUGGAAGGGAGGGAAGCCUUUGGAGGUGGCGCUGGGGGGCUGCACUUCGCUACUUAGGGUAAAUGCACACUUUUCAUUUUCUGCUGUUAGAAAGCGGAGUGAUUCGUAACAGGAGGCUGAUCUAGUAGGAUUACCCCUCGUGCUGUGAAAUGUAGCAGUGAUAGCACAUAGGUGGCUCUCGUAUACCUUUUUAAGUACAAGUGAUGCUCGGUAGUGAGUUUACUCAGUAAUGUGAGGAGAAAGACUUCUUAAAGGUUUUAUUAUUUUCACGGAGAGAGAGGGUUUGUGUAGAUCGUCUCAAUAGGAUGACACCUAGAACGCAAAGACCGGGGCAGAAUGUAGCCCUUCUGUGCCUCUCACUUUGUGUUCCCAAAGCAGCACUGACUGUCUCAUGGGAUGAUUCGGAAGAGCCACUCUAUGAAUAUGUAACUGGGCCAGGGAAUAUAAGCCUGGCUCAGCAACUCUCCCUGUGGCUGGAAUGUGGUACAAGAAGUACUUCGGACUUGAGAAACGCUGUUAUUCCAUGUAACUGCUUGGUGCUGAAGCAUCCCUGCCUUAUACCAGCCGUAGGAGUAAUUCACAAUCAUAUAACUCGCUUACAAAAGUUGGAAAACAAAUGUUUUCACCAGAAAACUGGGAAGAUGGUGCAAGAAACUCACCCCAGUGGAAAAUAACAUGAUACUUGGCAUUUACGUAAAGCCUUGGGUUUUCAACAUCCUGUGUGAUGAUUAGGUGUUUAAUCUUCUGCCCUCUGAGCCGGUUCAGUAAUGACUACUUCUGUGAUGAAACAGGAUAAAGUUCUUCCCAGUUAAAGACUUGCAAUUAAACUGUCCUUAUCCAAGUAGGCUCUAUUUAAUAUAAGUAAACACUAUUAAGAAAGUGCUUUUAUCUCAACAAGUCACAGCUUGAUUGUGGUUAACAAUAGUUUUUAUUACAGAAUCAUAACACGUUUGGAUUGUCUGUGCACAGCUAUGGUGCAGGUCAGAAAAAUAUUUCCUUCCCUCAUGAGUUUAAUUUAGAUUUUUCCCCAUCAUCUUCAUGUGUUCUCUUAACUUCCUUUGUAUUUCAAAGAUGGGUUCAGAAAACACAAACAAAUAGUAAGAGAUGUGAAAUACUUUUACCCGUCUUCCUACUAAGAUCUUAUCUCUAAAUUCAUACUUUCUUCACGUUUCUUUGAGAACAUGUGGUUUCCCACUGCAUGAAUGUGGUGGUGUGCCAAAUUGUGCUAAAUCCUGGCAGGAAUAAUUUCAGAAAUCAGGCAACUCUAAGCAUUCUAAGCUUCCUUUUUCUGUUCUGGAUCCUUUCUUAAGAGAAUAUAUUGGUACCUGAGCUUGGCUGGGACACCUUGACUUAGUUCUGUGAGCCUUGGAUCUAGUACAGCAAAACGGUGGCUAUUUUUGAUCCCCACAUAAUAGCUGGAAACCAAGAAGAGCUCCAGGAACCUGCCCUAGGGAAAUUAAAUCAUUUAAAAGAUCAAGUUUAGAAGAAUUGUACUUGAAAGAAUUUAAACACUAGAAAAUAGACAAAUAUAUUAGAAACAGUGUAAUACCAAUACUAAGUAUACCUGGAUUAGACCAUUUCCAAACCCAUCAUCCUGAUUAGGGGUAGACAAGUUUCAACUUCAGUCAAAUUUUGUUACUAUGCUGGUUAGCUUCGCCUGCCAAAGAAAUGCCAGAAAACAGUUUCUCCAUUAUGACCAGUGUUUCUUCCUCACCUGUCUCUGGUUUGCCAAGACAAAAGUCACACAACUGAUAAAGGGUCUACAGAAGUCUCUUAGUGUUAUUGUGCUGCUUCUGCUGUUCUUUAUGUGCACUGUUCUUUAGGUAUGAACAAGCCUUAUUUUGAUCUAGCCAGCUGUCAUAGAUCCUGAUCCAUGACUGGGAAGCCCACAUAUAGCUAAUGUACAUAAUUGUGAGUGUCAGUGGGGUAGUUACAGCAAUAUGAUUAAAGGAGUGAAAGGAAAAGACACUGUGGGUUACCUGUGGGAAGAAUAUCUCAGAAUUUUCCAAAUUCUGAAAUCAAUGCACACCUCAUUCAUACGGAUUUGAUCAGAAGAGCAAACAAAGUAGUAAUAAUAUUUACAUAUCACAGUUUCCCAUGAAGAGCUUGGUAAGCCCUGGAAAAACAUGUAUGAAAGAACAUUACCAAGUUUCUAAUUACAGAUGUUAUGGUUUUGGUUGUUCCUGAGUAAUUAUUUAGUUUUAUAGGGUUUUUUUACCUGAGAAAAUUUGAAGAAUACCUUGAAAAUUAAUAGCUCAUCACUAUAGUCAUAUGCAAUUUCAUCUUUUUUACUUCAUCUUUUGGAUAACUUUUCCAUUAGGAGGUGAAUGCCUCAACUCAAAGUUAUAUUGUUCACUUUUUGUUUUCAAACGUCGCUUAUUGCAGGCUUUGAAAAGAAGAUAACUCAGGGAAAAGCACAAUGAGAGCACAGCUUUACAAGCAGAAAUCUAACUCUGACACAAACCUCAUGGCUGAGGCUUAUUUUCUAUGGAUUUUGAAGCUGAAGAAACAUCUCUUAUCGCACAAGGACAGGCUACAUUCAGUAUAGAUUAGGAGGUGGACUGUGUGUCAAGGAAUGUAGGGAUUUCUGAGUAAAUUUGAAAUAACAGAACAGUCAAUCCACUCCAUUGAUUUUGGGUAUUUUUAAACCCAGCUUAAUGUAUGGGAUGCACUGAUGAUUGUGUUUUAAGCUGAUGCAGCUUGGAAAUGCUUACUGAUGAAGUCAGUGCAGUGCUUGAUGUCUUAUUUCAAAAUAGUAUCUGCCUGUAUUCCUCUACACAUAUUUAUUUCAUAUUUAUUUUAAAUGCUACGAUUUUUUUUAAUGUCACGUCACAGGGUCUUUUAAUGAAGGGCUGCUGAAUUAUUGAGAAAUUUCAUUCAGAAUUCAAAAUAUAGUAUGAACAGUCAUCUUGCAAAAUUUAUGUUGACCCACUGUGCUAGUUUUGGCUAGGGUAGAGUUAAUAUUCACAGUGGCUGGUAUGGGGCUCGAUUUUUCAUUGGUACAAAGUCUGCUGUUUUUUCUUAGUCUUUAGAAACAGUGUGAUGUCUGAAGUGCUUGGUCAUAAUGUCAUAGAAGUAGAUUCAGCUCGUCUCUAGCAUAACAGUGUGAUUUUGUUCAUCCCUUGUAAAGUUCUCUGUCUAAGGGAGUGUUUCACAGAGAAGUCUCUAGUCCACACUGGGACCAGCAGGAAUCUCCGAGCAUCUGUCAAGCGCUGACUUGUAUGCUAGAGAUACAUCUUCAAAACCCAUAUGCCAAUGCAUUUGCACAGGCAGAUUUUUAACAAAACAGCUUGUUUGGGAUAUUUUUAGCUGUAUGUGUGUGGCUCUGAUUUCAAUGGUGACUUGAGAACUGCAGUAAUUAGACUGUAGUGAAACAGCAGUGCAAGUAUCCAGGCAGGCCUUUGGGCAUAAUAAUUUGAAGUCCUUAAACCAACUGCAAAUAAUUUUAGUAUUUCCAACCCAUUAUUCCAACUCAGUCCUUGACCAUACAGGUACGCCCCUGUGCAUACUGGGCAGAGUUGUACUGUGUGUAUUUUACUACAACACUGGCAAAACAAGCACUUGAGUAACCACAUUAUAUUUAUCUGUACAGUUAGUAUAGUUAAAUUCCAUUAAGUCAGUGAGAGCUUUUCCAGUGGUUUUAAUUUCACAAAUUUAAUAAUAGUAGUAACCUUGUAUUGGUUUUAAAAAAAGCUAGGUUUAUUUGUUUGCUUUCCCCAUAGGAACAUCACUAACAUAGAUAGUUUUAGUAUUAAAACAAUAUUGAUUUAGCCCAAUUUCAGUGGAUGCUUUUUUUUUUUUUAAUUUAAACUCUCUUGGGAUUAUCUUUAUGAAAUGCUGUUUUGUUUACAUGUACAUAUUGUUUUGCAACAUGAUAUCACUUAUGUAAAAAUUCCUGUGGUAUUUUCCUUGGUUCACCACAGUCAUCAUCUUCUAGGUUGUCUACAGGUGUCUGCCUCAGCAGCUGUUCUCACUGUGUUAGUGUUGAUAUACAGUUGUCAACUGCAUUAACUGUACAUUAAAGAUCACAAAGAGAAGUUGGUCACAGGUCCAAGUUCCUGUACCUUUUUGUCCUGCUUACCUGCCUUUCCAUCUCAGUUCCAUUAAGUCUAUGAGGUAUUUUUUAUUCCAUUUAGUCUUAAAUCACAAUAUUUUUAUGGACUGUUCCAGACUACUCGUCAGAGAGACGGCCAACAAAUCCCUGUUUUGACAAGCCAGUGAUUCUUAGUAGCUGACCAGAGGAGUAGAUCUGCUUCUGGGUUUGAUAACAUGCCCCAGUUUUUGGAUUCAUUUCAAAAAUGGCCACUAGCUAUCCUAGGAGAUUUAAGCAACAAAUUCACAGAUGUCCCCUGCAGGAUCAAAGUGAAGGAACCAAUGUUUCAAGCCAAUAUACAGUUUUUAGCCUUAUCUGUUACAGUGUUGGCUUUUCUUAGAGAGAUUGGCUUCUGUAAAGGUCAAAAGCCAUUUAGGAAGCUUACGCAGAAGUUUAUUACCGUUCUUCCAUCCCAAAGUCCACCUAAUUAUCGUGGGGGAGAAUGGUAAAUACGCAGCCAAGUGUAAAUGUGUCAUAGUAGUGACCUAUAUAUUUUAAAUAGGCACCAUUCAUACCAUUAGAUGCCUUUUCUUUAGUGUGUUGUCAUAAUCUGUAGAACUGCAUCGUUUGCACAUAACGGGAUACAGAUUGUGAUACAGCUGUCGUGACUUGGAUUACUGAUUUUAGACCUCUUCAUUGGACAAAGUUUGUCAGGAUUCAAUGUCGCCAAAGAUCAAUCUGUCCUUUUUUGCGGGUACUCUGAGGAUGGAAAGGCCAGUUAGGAGGCUGAGCAAAGCCAUUGCUACAGAUAGCAAAGAAAUGCAUCUCACUCCCAGUGACAUUGCUGUGAAGAUGCAGAAGAGGAACAUAAAAUUCCAAGACUUGCUGCAGGCAUGAAUGCUCCCAGAAGUGUGAGUCAGCUCAAAACAACUCCUAGGGUAAGUUUACAGGAUCCAGACAUUGUCAGAAUACUCACUUUCAGCCUCUCAAGUAAAGGUGCAAAACGAAGUAUGUCACAAAUUAAUGUAAACUAAGGAAGUGGUGUCUUGCCUUCCAAAUGCAUGUUCUGCUUUAGCAGUGGCUAAGAACAGUAGCUGAUUUUUCUCUGCAGCUCCCACAUUGUCUGGGACUUGCUUCUUAAAAUAAUGUCAGGAAAAGUUAAAUGAAGUUUACCCAAGUAUGUUAACAACUUCUAACCCAUUGCAAGCAAUGGCCCCUGGUUCUGAAUAAGGUUCCUAUUUGUCUAGCCUCUUACCAGUGCCUGACGCUGGUAUAUAGUAGUUUUGAUGUAGGCGUGACAAAACUCCCAAGACAUUCUGAUUGGAGUAAUAUUUCUUCUGGUUAAUGCAGGUGUUAAAACUUUUUGGAGGACGAAUUAUGGGCCAAAUUUUUAGGGGAGUACUCCCUGUGCUAGAUUAUGUAGACAAGCCUUAUGUGAGAAAAGACUUCUGGGAGUAAUCUAGAUCCUGUGAUGAGAGGCAUGUAAUUGUUGUGCAUGUAAUAGGUACUUUCUAAUUCACGUAAAGAAGCAGCUGUAAACCUCUUAAUCAGACAGGUUGAAUUGUUUGUGAAGUACUCUAGAACAGGUGAACACAAUCUUUUAUAUUUUACAGGGAAUAUUUUCAUGAAGGGUAAUACUAACUACUUCUCUCAUUCCAAUUCAUCUUUUAUUUAUGUCUUAUAGAGAUGCAAACCUUUAUUCUCAACGCCAGAAGAGAAAGCCCCAAACAAAACAAAAUGCUGUGUAAGCAAAACAUUCCAGUGCCUAAGUCCCUCCCCUUAGAAGGGAUGGAUAUAAAGAUCACCAAACUCAUGGUAGAUAAUUACUCAGGUGUCAGGAGUGGCUACACUGAGAUGACAGAGCUGCUCAGUCACAUGAUUGCUCCUGUAUCAUAUGAGCAGGAUCAUGCCUGCCAUGCUAGACUUGCACUGGCAAGGAGAGGGAGGUGGAGUGGGAAGGGAUUGAAGUAUUUUAAAGCUUGCCCUUCUGUUAAAUACACACCUUCCUCAGCACAUUCCUGUCGAGUUUUUAGAUACCGUAUCAACACGUGGAGCAAAUCUUUGCUUAUUAAAACCUUUUUGCAAAUAAGUCAAUAAUACUAAAAAAUCAAAAUAGGAGCCCUUGACCUUUGUUUUGCACUCACCUAGCAGGCCUGCAUAUGACUAAAUAAAACACAAGACAAUGGAAAACCAGGCUUAGUGUGUGCAUGUCCAUAUGUUAUCUCUGUACCCCUGUCUCCUCCUUUUCAUUCUGAAUAAUGAUCAGGACUAGGCUGAAACUGAAUGAGAAAUCCAUGUUCCAAAGAAGCAAUGCGAUAUUAUAGUUUAAAAAUCUGUUAGAAUUGAAAGCUGGGCGGAUGUUAGAAGCAGACUGGAGAGAGUCAGAAAGAGAGGUUGAAUUUAACACAAGUAAGUUUUUGGCAACUUUCCUGUUAAAAUCUAUGGCCAAUGCAAUCUUGCGGAAGUAGUUUUAGAGCUGAAACUUUUCUUCCAAUGGUAACAGCAACCAUGUAUUUCUACUGAUUUGUACUGAAUAGAGAUUGAACUAUGCAGACAAAGCAAGGUGCAAAUGAGAGUUCAGACACAGCAUAAAGCCUAUGCAGGACUAUGAGCUGUUGAAAAUCCAAGUAGCCUGUUUUCUCUAUUCCAAUGCUGUUAGUGGGUGCAAAGAGGUGAAAAGUAGCUCAAAAAUACCCAGGUUACACAUGAGUUUAUCUCCAGUGGUGCAGAUACACUGCCAGUUCAACAUCUAUUUUACAGAGGGAUGUUACGCCUCUUUUGCCUUGCGUGAGUUAAUUUCUGUAUGGACCAUAUAGGUACAAAAUCAUGCACACUAGUGUUAUGAAAGAGACAUUAGUACUCUCUGUAGAUCAUGUUUGUCCCUACUUGAAGAACCAUUAUAGUACAAUAGACUCAUUCGACACAAGUAUUUGUCAGGGAGAUUUCAAUUAUUUUUGCCCAUCAUAAAGUAAUUAAAACUCAAUUAAUAUGUAGAAAAAAUGAAGCGAUAUAAGGCUGUGAUUCUGCAUUAAGUCAUAUAAAAUCUGUGUAUGCUGGAUUUCCUGGCAGUAAAAAUUUGAUCUGUUAUUGGUGUGAGCACAACUGCAUUUUUACCAAAUCACCCAGAGCAUAUGUUACAGUGUUUAUUCAGGGUUUGUGCCAACUUUCUGUCAGUUGAGCAGGAUAAAUUAUGCCUGAACCAGCACAGAGUUAGAGUGGUACAAACAGAAAAUAUCUGAUAGGACCUCUCCUGGGACAAAAUUAUUUCUUCAAGCUAUUUACUACCACAUGGAAUGAUAACCUACCACCCUAAUAAGCUGUAAACCCUGCAUAGUCCUUAGACAAAUCUGUUUCAAGUCAGAGCAUGUCUAUAUCUGAUUAGCUGUAAAUAGACUGACAAUUUUUUCCUCAGAGAGAAAGAAGGGGAGAGACACAAAUUCAAAUUAUAUUUUUCACCUUAGGCAAGUACAGAAAUGUUCAAGAAUAUGAUUUGUGUAGAAAUCUCAAGUGUACUCAUGUGUAAAUGUAAUUAAUGAGAUGGGAAAAAAUGAGUCGUAAUGAUAAAUAGAAACAUAAUUCUUGACAUUGCUGGGUUAGGUUUGAGCCCAUAUUGUGAAAGAAAAAGGAUUUGAUUCUGUGCUUCCCACCAUGUUUCUUCUUUUAAGUAUGCAGCUGCUGUGUCAUGUUACAGAUCUGUGACGUUUCAUUCUGAAGCUGAAUUGUCAUGACAGUAGUUAUGAGAGGUGAAGAUUGUAAACCAGAACAUUGCAGUGUAAACCCAGUGAUUUUUGAGAUUUCCUAAGUCAAAGGGCUGAAUCCAUCAGUAAGUGCAUGCAGGUUUUACUGUCUUUGAUAUAAAAUCAGCUGGGGUCAUGUACAAUUUUUGUUGGGAUUUUGUUAAUUUUCAUUGAAAUUUCAUUAGAGUUUGUGAACUUACUUUUGUCACUGGAGCAUUGUCUGUCUUUGGCCAGGGAUUGUAAGUGACUGCAAUGCAACUUUCCGUGGCAGUACUGCUUAACAUUGUGCAGGCCACCCUGGCUAUUUGUUUCCACCUGCACCUGUACUGCAGUCUUUACUAGGCUAGCACAGCAAUUUUUUUGGGUGCAUCCUAGAGUAGCCUAUGGAACUGAUUUAACUGAAGAAUAGCAGGGAUUAUGAAAGCUGGCAUUGCCACUGAGUUUUUUUCCCUCCAAACUGCAUACUGUAUGAAAACAAAUGGAGCUAGGAAUUUGGAGCAAACCUGGCAAAAGGGUAUGAUUGUGGUUCGGAAUAAACUAAAAGAGGGAUGAUUCUUCUCAUGGUAAGAGCAUACUUGUACCUCCAUACCAGGAAAUAAGUUAAAGUAGAAGAGGGUAUCCUGAAGUAGAUGCAGUCAUAUGAACACAAGAAUUCUUUUUAAAAGUGUAGCACAUACUGGGGACUGUAAAUCACCUUUGUUAUGGUAUGACUACAUCUAUACCACUGGUGCUUAACAAAGUUAGUAAAAAUGUUCUUCUAACUGACAGAGUGAUGCUAAUAAAAAUUUUAUGUGUACAAGACUCCUAAAAAUUGGAAUAAUCAAUAACAUACACAACUAGUGUUAACAUUGCACACCCCAAAUUCAGCAAGAAUUCCUAUUACGCAAGUCUGAGUUUGUAGAGCUGUAAUUCUACUAAGCUAGCACUGUGGGAGAAUGCAGAAGUUACUUUUUAGAAGUUGAAGUGCCAUUUUAUUUCUCUUGAUACAUUUUGGGGAACUUUCCAAAAUCAGUCUUGGCACAGCUGAAGCAUCUUUAACAUUCUUCUACUACUGUUUCUUCUACCGCUGUCACCUUUUAAAAGCUUAUGUUUUUAGCAUUCUUCUACCACUAUCACUCUUAAAAGGUUAUGUGUGUUCUUCAAAUGGGACCAGAUUGUACUGAAAGACUGUUAUUUUUAAUACAGUUUCCUGUGGAGGAAUAACCCGAACUCCUGGCAACACACCACUAUUCAAUUCAUACAAAGCACUCACAUCAUUUACUCCAGAGACAGGCUUGGGCUCACAACCAUUCCGAUGUAAUCUCUACUAGCAGUGCUAUUUUAACUGCAAUCACAUUACAUUAUAGGCAAGUACUAAAGGUAUACAAGAAGAGAACUUAAAACAUCCUUUGGGGUUGAAUUUUGCAAAAAGUGAUGCUUCAUAAAAGCUCGUCAACAUAAACUACUUUCAAGUGAAAGUUUAUUAAAUAUACUAAAUUAAGGUCUGAUGUUACAUAACAAUUUGCUACAUAUGGGGAUGCUUAAAGCAAAAUGUGAUUUAUGUGUACCUGCAAGAGAAACAUCUGCCAUCCAGUGUGUGAUUUCAGUGCACUUGGGAUGGAAUGAGUCCAGCUACCUAGUGGCAGACAUUAUAGAGGCACUUUCUUAUGCUGUUAUGGGUCUCAGAAACUCAGGACUGACCAAAAAUCCUAAAGCAAAGAAACUACUGAAGACUGUUUAUAUGGCGGCCCCACAUACUCCGAGGAGGAUCCAAUCUCAUUGA